rnacentral:rRNA from 1 species
UGAAUACGAGAUGCUACGGCGUCGAAGCAGUCUAUGUCAUACUUCCAAGAAAAGCUUGCACUGUCAUAAACAAAUAAUGCCUGUACCAUAACCGACACAGGUGGGUAGGUAGAGUAUACUAAGGGGCGCGAGUUAACUCUCUCUAAGGAACUCGGCAAAAUGACUCCGUAACUUCGGGAGAAGGAGUGCCUUAUUUAUAAGGUUGCAAUAACAAGAUCCAAGCAACUGUUUACCAAAAACACAGGUCUCCGCUAAGUCGUAAGACGAUGUAUGGGGGCUGACGCCUGCCCAGUGCCAGAAGGUUAAAGAAGUUGGUUAGCAUCCGCGAAGCUGAUAACUGAAGCCCUGGUGAACGGCGGCCGUAACAAUAACGGUCCUAAGGUAGCGAAAUUCCUUGUCGGGUAAGUUCCGACCCGCACGAAAGGCGUAAUGAUUUGGAUACUGUCUCGGAGAGGGGCUCGGUGAAAUAGACUUGUCUGUGAAGAUGCGGACUACCUGCACCAGGACAGAAAGACCCUAUGAAGCUUUACUGUAGCCUGAAAUUGAAAUUGGACUUUACUUGCGCAGUAUAGGUGGGAGGCGUUGAGAAUAUUCUUGCGGGAUUAUUGGAGCCAUCAGUGAGAUACCACUCUUGUAAUGUUAGAUUUCUAACUUUGUAUCAUUAUCUGGUCAAAGAACAGUUUCAGGCGGGCAGUUUGACUGGGGCGGUCGCCUCCUAAACGGUAACGGAGGCGCACAAAGGUUUCCUCUGAACGGGUAGAAAUCGUAUCUAGAGUGUAAAGGCAUAGGAAGCUUGACUGUGAGACCUACAAGUCGAGCAGGGACGAAAGUCGGUCUUAGUGAUCUGACGGUGCUGAGUGGAAAGGCCGUCACUCAACGGAUAAAAGUUACUCUAGGAUAACAGGCUGAUCUCCCCCAAGAGUUCACAUCGACGGGGAGGUUUGGCACCUCGAUGUCGGCUCAUCGCAUCCUGGGGCGGUAGUACGUCCCAAGGGUUGGGCUGUUCGCCCAUGAAAGCGGUACGCGAGCUGGGUUCAGAACGUCGUGAGACAGUUCGGUCCAUAUCCGGUGUAGGCGUUAGAAUAUUGAGAGGAGCCUUCUUUAGUACGAGAGGACCGAGAAGGACAUACCUCUGGUGUACCAGUUAUCGUGCCAACGGUAAACGCUGGGUAGCUAUGUGUGGAGUGGAUAACCGCUGAAAGCAUCUAAGUGGGAAGCCCACCUCAAGAUGAUUGCUCUCACAGGGUUAACCUGGUAAGGUCACGGGAAGACCACCCGUUGAUAGGCACUCGGUGGAAGUCCAGCAAUGGAUGAAGCCAAGGUGUACUAACAGACCGAGGGCUUGACC